UGGUUCACUCAUUUUGUUUAUUUCUACAAAACACAAUAUGCAUUAUUCAAAAUUGUUUUACUCAAUUAAUUAAUGUACGUACCAUAAGUCAUUUACAAUCUUGGACAUAACUCUUCGAACUUGUCUAGUUGUCUUUUAUCACCUAGGCAAUAUCGGAGUCGAUGUAUGCAAUUCUCACGUCCAUAUCAGUUUCAAUUUCGAUCGCAA
rnacentral:lncRNA from 1 species